AUGGAGGAUCCCGGAGAGCAGAAUGGCAAUGCCCAUGCCCCUGUAGCUGCCGGCAACACUCUCGACGAGCCGCAGCAGCUGCAGCAAGACGGUGCCGACGAGGCCGAGCCGCAGCAGCUGCAACAAGAGGGCGCCAACGAGGAGGCCGAGCUCCUAUGGAAGCUGAGGAAGUACCUGGUGCUGAUGGCCAUCCUCGUGGCGGCCAUCACGUUCCAGGCGGGGCUGGCCCCGCCGGGCGGCUUCUGGCAGCACAACGACGAGCACGGCCACGUCGCCAGCGACAUCGUGAUGAAGUCCAGCUACCCCAGGCGGUACCUUGCCUUCUUCUACUACAACACCAUGGCGUUCGGGGCCUCGCUCCUGGUGCUCAUACUGCUCCUGCUGAGGGAGCUGACCCACAAGGCCGCCUGGCUCCGCGCGCUCCAGUUCGCCAUGAUUCUUGGCUUACUGGGGCUCAUGGGGGCCUUCGCCGCUGGGAGCUGCAGGGAGGUGAGGACCUCUGCUUACAUCUGGGUGUUACUCCUUGGCAUCUCCGCCUAUGUCACACUCCAUGAGGUGUUCUUCAAGCACCUGGCACCUGAGCGGCUGCGAAAAUUUCUAUCCGGUGUUAGUAAACGUUGGAAGGGAACUCCGGGGGACAUUUUCACGUCAUCAAAACCAGAUGAGCAAAAGGCUUCAAAUGCAGAGAGGGUAGCCGAUGAGGGAGUGACUUCAAUCCAGAUGGAAGAACCUGAAAGAAAUGGCAGCUCCGUGCAGGUUCUUGCAGAAGAAGAGAAGAAGAAAAAGGAGAAAGAGGCUGCAGACAGAGAGGAAGAUCUUGAAAGAAAUCGCAGCUCCUUGCUGGUUCUUGCCACAUUGGUAGCAACAGUGACAUAUGUGGCAGGGCUAACCCCUCCAGGUGGCUUCUGGUCUGAUGACAACAAGAACCACAUUCCUGGUGAUCCGGUGCUGCGAGACCACUAUCCACGCCGAUUCAAGGCCUUCUUCUAUUGCAAUGCCACUGCUUUUGCUGGAUCACUUGUCAUCAUCAUCAUGGUCCUCAGUCAAACAGCAGUGGAUCAUGUUGUCAAGUCAAAUGCUCUGCGGUUGUGUGUGGUAGUCAGUCUAUUUGGGCUUAUGGGGGCAUAUGCUGCUGGAAGUUGCAGGGAGGUACAUACAUCUAUCUAUGUCUUUGCACUUGUUGGCACAGUCUUGCUCUACCUCAUCAUCCAGUGUAUUGAACCUGCUCUGUCUAAGUUGGCAUGUAUUGCAAACACCAUCACACGUGUGAAAGAGAGAAAUAAAGAAAUGGUUCGGAAGCUGAGGGAUUUCAUCACUGACUUGUUAAAAUCUCCCAUACCAGUACAAGAUCAGUCAGACAACAGCACUCCAGGCACUGAUGGUAAGGAUUUCCAGAAGUUGCGCACAUACCUUCUAUUACUUGGCAUCCUUGCUGCCACAGUCACAUUCCAAGCUGGGCUGAAUCCACCAGGAGGCUUUUGGACAGAUAACAGUGAUGGGCAUAUUGCUGGUGAUCCAAUUUUGGAGACCAUCAGUCCCAAGCGCUACAAGGCAUUCUUCUAUUGCAAUGCCACAGCAUUUGUAGCCUCUUUGGCCAUCAUCAUCCUACUCCAGAGCCAGUUGAUUACCAUUCAUGCCAUGAAGCGUUAUGUACUGCAAACAGCAAUGACACUGGUGCUCUUUGGUCUUAUGGGAGCCUACGUCGCUGGAAGCAGCAGGAAGUUCUCAACAUCCAUUUAUGUGUUCGUCCUAGUCCUCCUAGUUUUCGCCUAUGUUGUACUUCAUAUUCUAUAUGAGAGGGCACUAGGGAAUACUGGGAGCACAGCAGGGAGUACUGAGAGCACAGCAGGGAAUACCGGGAGCACAGUAGGGAAUACUGGGGUUUCCAUGCCAGAAACCCCCCCAAAUCCUAGUUCUUCUGAACCUACUCUUGAAGAAAAAAAAGAUUUAACCUCCCAAAAUCCUAGUUCUUCUGAACCUACUCCUGAAGAAAAAAAAGAUUUGCAGAAGAGGCGCAAGUUUCUGAUGUUGCUCGCAAUUCUAGCAGCUUCUAUCACAUACCAAACUGGUAUAAGCCCACCAGGUGGCUUUUGGACUAACGGCCACCGAGCAGGUUAUCCAGUGUUUCGUGACGAGUUCCGAAACCGCUAUAGGGUGUUCUUCUACUUCAAUGCUACUGCUUUCAUGGCAUCCCUGGCAGUAAUUCUGUUGCUUGUUAACAAGAGGCUAUGCAACAAAGGUCUGAGGUGCCAUGCGCUAUGUGCAUGCGUAUUGGUUGAUCUGAUCAGCCUCAUGGGUGCUUUUGCUACGGGAAGCUGCAGAGAAGUGCCAACAUCUGGCUAUGUCAUUCUUGUUGUUCUUGCAGUGUUUGUCUAUGUCAUAAUUCAAGUCCUGGUUCUGACACCAAAAGAUAAGUGGAAAGAGUUGCUGCGGCCUUCUAAGAACCAACAUUCAUCAAUGAAUCACACGAGAAGUAUAGAUGAUACUGAUAGUAAGAGAACAGAGCACAAAUGGCGCAAAGAUUUGAUGCUGAUUGGAACUCUUACAGUCACUGUCACAUACCAAGCCGGUCUGCUUCCGCCAGGAGGAGUUUGGCCUGAUGACCAGGAUGGCCAUUUUGCAGGUGACCCUAUCCUCCAUGAUACCAACCUAACACGGUACAAGGUAUUCUUCUAUUGCAACGCCACAGCAUUCAUGGCCUCAAUGGUCAUGGUCAUCCUCCUGCUGAACAACACAAUAAGCAAGCACAAGAGAUCUCUCUUUGCCAUGAAAACAGCAAUGGUCUUGGACUUGCUUGGUUUACUUGGGGCAUAUGCCGCAGGCAGCUGCAGGAAGUUGAAGACAUCUGCGUACAUUUUUGCACUUGUCAUUGCCGUGAUAAUCUACAUCGUCAUUCAUGUCUUGUUGUCAUUUGACGAAGUGGCAAGGUUAGUGAAGCAGAAGGGGAAAAGGUGGGUGCGAUGUCUGAAAAGGUGUUUCUGUUGCAACUGA
rnacentral:rRNA from 1 species